UACGUAGGGUGCGAGCGUUAAUCGGAAUUACUGGGCGUAAAGAGUGCGUAGGCGGUCCCGCAAGUCCGCUGUGAAAGCCCCGGGCUUAACCUGGGAAUGGCAGUGGAAACUAUGGGACUUGAAUCUGGCAGAGGGGGGUGGAAUGCCACGUGUAGCAGUGAAAUGCGUAGAUAUCUGGAGGAACACCGGUGGCGAAGGCGGCGUUCUGGACUGCAACUGACACUGAGGAACGAAAGCCAGGGGAGCAAACGGG
rnacentral:rRNA from 1 species